CUAGUUGGUAAGGUAACGGCUUACCAAGGCUACGAUGGGUAGGGGUCCUGAGAGGGAGAUCCCCCACACUGGUACUGAGACACGGACCAGACUCCUACGGGAGGCAGCAGUGAGGAAUAUUGGACAAUGGGCGCAAGCCUGAUCCAGCCAUGCCGCGUGCAGGAUGACGGUCCUAUGGAUUGUAAACUGCUUUUAUACGAGAAGAAACACUACUUCGUGAAGUAGCUUGACGGUAUCGUAAGAAUAAGGAUCGGCUAACUCCGUGCCAGCAGCCGCGGUAAUACGGAGGAUCCAAGCGUUAUCCGGAAUCAUUGGGUUUAAAGGGUCCGUAGGCGGUUUAAUAAGUCAGUGGUGAAAGCCCAUCGCUCAACGGUGGAACGGCCAUUGAUACUGUUAGACUUGAAUUAUUAGGAAGUAACUAGAAUAUGUAGUGUAGCGGUGAAAUGCUUAGAGAUUACAUGGAAUACCAAUUGCGAAGGCAGGUUACUACUAAUUGAUUGACGCUGAUGGACGAAAGCGU
rnacentral:rRNA from 1 species